rnacentral:tRNA from 1 species
UCCAUGGUGGUCCAGUGACUAGGACUCUUUGCUCCCAACGCAGGGGGCUCGGGUUCAAUCCCUGGUCAGGGAA